GGGCCCGCACAAGCGGUGGAGCAUGUGGUUUAAUUCGAAGCAACGCGAAGAACCUUACCAGGCCUUGACAUCCAAUGAACUUUCCAGAGAUGGAUUGGUGCCUUCGGGAACAUUGAGACAGGUGCUGCAUGGCUGUCGUCAGCUCGUGUCGUGAGAUGUUGGGUUAAGUCCCGUAACGAGCGCAACCCUUGUCCUUAGUUACCAGCACGUUAUGGUGGGCACUCUAAGGAGACUGCCGGUGACAAACCGGAGGAAGGUGGGGAUGACGUCAAGUCAUCAUGGCCCUUACGGCCUGGGCUACACACGUGCUACAAUGGUCGGUACAGAGGGUUGCCAAGCCGCGAGGUGGAGCUAAUCCCACAAAACCGAUCGUAGUCCGGAUCGCAGUCUGCAACUCGACUGCGUGAAGUCGGAAUCGCUAGUAAUCGCGAAUCAGAAUGUCGCGGUGAAUACGUUCCCGGGCCUUGUACACACCGCCCGUCACACCAUGGGAGUGGGUUGCACCAGAAGUAGCUAGUCUAACCUUCGGGGGGACGGUUACCACGGUGUGAUUCAUGACUGGGGUGAAGUCGUAACAAGGUAGCCGUAGGGGAACCUGCGGCUGGAUCACCUCCUUAAUCGACGACCGCAGCUGCUUCAUGAGCUCCCACACGAAUUGCUUGAUUCAUUGAAGAAGACGAAAGAAGCAGCCCGAAAUUGGGUCUGUAGCUCAGUUGGUUAGAGCGCACCCCUGAUAAGGGUGAGGUCGGCAGUUCGAAUCUGCCCAGACCCACCAAUUUUGUGUGGGAAACGCCUGUAGAAAUACGGGGCCAUAGCUCAGCUGGGAGAGCGCCUGCCUUGCACGCAGGAGGUCAGCGGUUCGAUCCCGCUUGGCUCCACCACUACUGCUUCGAUUGUAUAAAGCUUAGAAAUGAGCAUUCCAUCAAGGUGAUGGUGAAUGUUGAUUUCUAGUCUUUGACUAGUUCGUUCUUUAAAAAUUUGGGUAUGUGAUAGAAAGAUAGACUGAACGUUACUUUCACUGGUAACGGAUCAGGCUAAGGUAAAAUUUGUGAGUUCUCUUAGUUGAGAAAUUCGAAUUUUCGGCGAAUGUCGUCUUCACAGUAUAACCAGAUUGCUUGGGGUUAUAUGGUCAAGUGAAGAAGCGCAUACGGUGGAUGCCUUGGCAGUCAGAGGCGAUGAAAGACGUGGUAGCCUGCGAAAAGCUUCGGGGAGUCGGCAAACAGACUUUGAUCCGGAGAUGUCUGAAUGGGGGAACCCAGCCAUCAUAAGAUGGUUAUCUUGUACUGAAUACAUAGGUGCAAGAGGCGAACCAGGGGAACUGAAACAUCUAAGUACCCUGAGGAAAAGAAAUCAACCGAGAUUCCCUUAGUAGUGGCGAGCGAACGGGGACUAGCCCUUAAGCUUCUUUGAUUUUAGCGGAACGCUCUGGAAAGUGCGGCCAUAGUGGGUGAUAGCCCUGUACGCGAAAGGAUCUUAGAAGUGAAAUCGAGUAGGACGGAGCACGAGAAACUUUGUCUGAAUAUGGGGGGACCAUCCUCCAAGGCUAAAUACUACUGACUGACCGAUAGUGAACUAGUACCGUGAGGGAAAG
rnacentral:sRNA from 1 species